AAGGGAAAAAGAUGAGGAGAAAAAGGAAGGAAAAUAGAUUUAAGAGGCUAAGAGUACAAAUUGGAGCUCAAGUUUGCUGAUUCUUUAAUCUCCAAUUUCAUUAAGAUAGCAGCUGAGUUGAGUAGUAUUGAAGCC